CUAAGUUUGAUGGCGACCGGCGCACGGGUGAGUAACACGUAUCCAACCUGCCGAUGACUCGGGGAUAGCCUUUCGAAAGAAAGAUUAAUACCCGAUGGCAUAGUUCUUCCGCAUGGUAGAACUAUUAAAGAAUUUCGGUCAUCGAUGGGGAUGCGUUCCAUUAGGUUGUUGGCGGGGUAACGGCCCACCAAGCCUUCGAUGGAUAGGGGUUCUGAGAGGAAGGUCCCCCGCAUUGGAACUGAGACACGGUCCAAACUCCUACGGGAGGCAGCAUG
rnacentral:rRNA from 1 species